rnacentral:rRNA from 1 species
UACGUAGGGCGCAAGCGUUGUCCGGAAUUAUUGGGCGUAAAGAGCUCGUAGGCGGCUUGUUGCGUCGGCUGUGAAAACCCGCGGCUCAACCGUGGGCUUGCAGCCGAUACGGGCAGGCUAGAGUUCGGUAGGGGAGACUGGAAUUCCUGGUGUAGCGGUGAAAUGCGCAGAUAUCAGGAGGAACACCGGUGGCGAAGGCGGGUAGCUGGGCCGACACUGACGCUGAGGCGCGAAAGCCAGGGGAGCGAACGGG